rnacentral:rRNA from 1 species
GACGAACGCUGGCGGCGUGCUUAACACAUGCAAGUCGAACGGAAAGGCCCUGCUUUUGUGGGGUGCUCGAGUGGCGAACGGGUGAGUAACACGUGAGUAACCUGCCCUUUACUUUGGGAUAACUUCAGGAAACUGGGGCUAAUACCGGAUAGGAGCUCCUGCUGCAUGGUGGGGGUUGGAAAGGUUCGGCGGUUGGGGAUGGACUCGGGGCUUAUCAGCUUGUUGGUGGGGUAGUGGCUUACCAAGGCUUUGACGGGUAGCCGGCCUGGGAGGGUGACCGGCCAAAUGGGGACUGAGAUAGGGCCCAGCCUCCUACGGGAGGAAGCGGGGGGGAAUAUGGAACAAGGGGCGGAAGCCUGAUGCAGCAACGCCGCGGGCGGGAUGACGGCCUUCGGGUUGUAAACCGCUUUAGCAUGUGACGAAGCGUGAGUGACGGUAAUGGGUAAAGAAGCACCGGCUAACUACGUG